GACCUCUCCCUGACUGACUGACACACACACACACACACACACACACACACACACACACACACACACACACACACACACACACACACACACACACACACACACACACACACACACACACACACACACACACACACACACACAGUGUGACUCUGGGCAACUUGCCACUCCUGGCACACGAGCAGAUAACACAUUUAUUUCAGAGUCACUUGUUUUCAACUGUAUAGUUAUGACCGAGGAAUGUUUCUCAAAGAUGAGCAACAAUACAUAGAAGCUGAAAAGGGGGUGUUAGAAUUGGAGCACAUUAACUUGAUAUAAAAUAUAAGACCAUCGUCAACACAUUUCUAUGCCUACAUGCUUACACCAUACUUCGAAGAUACUCCACUAGUGUCUUUACAAGUCACACAACUUCCUUUUCUUACUUUAGAACUCAGCACCAUCCUCAGCCUGCAGCAACAGUUCCAGUUGAGUCUUACAUACAGUAAUCUCUGAUCGCUGAAUGGUGAUCCACUUAACAGAUUCUGCCUGCGAUCAGUCGGUGGCUCACCCCACAAAGCCACUCAACUGGAUUCAUGUAUUAGGCAAGCUCAGAGGUAAGAACUCACCCCACAAAGCCACUCAACUGGAUUCAUGUAUUAGGCAAGCUCAGAGGUAAGAACUCACCCCACAAAGCCACUCAACUGGAUUCAUGUAUUAGGCAAGCUCAGAGGUAAGAACUCACCCCACAAAGCCACUCAACUGGAUUCAUGUAUUAGGCAAGCUCAGAGGUAAGAACUCACCCCACAAAGCCACUCAACUGGAUUCAUGUAUUAGGCAAGCUCAGAGGUAAGAACUCACCCCACAAAGCCACUCAACUGGAUUCAUGUAUUAGGCAAGCUCAGAGGUAAGAACUCACCCCACAAAGCCACUCAACUGGAUUCAUGUAUUAGGCAAGCUCAGAGGUAAGAACUCACCCCACAAAGCCACUCAACUGGAUUCAUGUAUUAGGCAAGCUCAGAGGUAAGAACUCACCCCACAAAGCCACUCAACUGGAUUCAUGUAUUAGGCAAGCCAAGAGGGUAAAAGUAAAUAGAGGUAUACAAAAACAAAAACACAAACAUGCACACAGAUAGACACACAGCCAGAAACACAGAAAGAGAGAGAAGGUAAGAGCGAAAGAAAGAAAGGAAAGAAAGAGAAAAAGUAAUAAAACAUUACCCACUCGUGAUGUUCCCUCUUAUUUUAUCAUACAUGGUGAUCCAUGUGGGCGUAAAGGAACACUGAGGAGGUUGUUUCAUCCAAUGCCUGUUUGCCUGAGGCUGAUGAUAGGUGAUUGUAUGAGUGUACACAUGCAUAUAUACAAACUCACAUUCAAAACGCACACAUGUGCACACACGCGGACACACACAUACAUACAUACAUACAAACAUGCCCCCAGGCCUGGAGGGAAGCAAAAGUAAUUACGCUACCCAAGAAUAGUAAAGCCCCCUUUACUGGCUCAAAUUUGGUUUGAUACAAUGCUGUUUUACAGUAAACAAAUUGACAAAAGACUUUCAGCAAGCUUGUAGGGGAGGACAUUCAACAAGCACAGCACUUACACAAAUGACUGAUGAUUGACAGAGAAAUUGAUGAUAAAAAGAUUUUGGUAGCUGUUUUGUUAGACUUCAAUGCGGCUUUAGACAUUAUCGAUCAUAGUCUGCUGAUGGAAAGACGUAUGCAUUAUGGUUUUACACCCCCUGCUAUAUUGUGGAUAAAGAGUUACCUGUCUAACAGAACACAGAGGGUGUUCUUUAACUUCACUAGGGUAGGGGGCAGCAUUCGGAAUUUUGGAUGAAAAGCGUACCCAAAUGAAACUGCCUGCUACUCAGGCCCAUAAGCUAGGAUAUGCAUAUAAUUAGUAGAUAUCGAUAGACAACACACUACCGUUUCCAAAACUGUUAAAAUAAUGUAUGUGAGUAUAACAGAACUGAUAUGGCAGGCAAAAACCAGAGGAAAAUCUAACCAGGAAGCACUAUUAUUUUGAAAGGCUGUUUUUCCAUUGAAAGCCUAUCCACCAUACAAAGACUUAGGACCCAGUUCUAUGGCUUCCUCAACAUGUGACCAGUAUUUAGGCAUUGUUAGAGGACAGUGGAAAUUUCCAUCCAUGAACCAAACACGUGAUCGGGAGCACGCAUUUCUUGUUUACAUUUUCCAUAUGCUUUUGUCUGGUUGAAAUAUUAUUUAUGACAAAAACAACCUGAGGAUUGAUUUUACACAUCGUUUGACAUGUUUCUAUGAACUUUUAUUGUACUUAUUUGACUUUUCGUCUUGGUUUUGAGAGCGCGCAUUGUGCCUUUCUGAACUACACGCACCAACAAAAUGGAGGUAUUUGGACAUAAAGAUGAACUUUAUCGAACAAAACGAACAUUUGUUGUCUAACAUGGAGACCUGGGAGUUGUAUUUGUUAUUAUUUUAAUUUUAUUUCACCUUUAUUUAACCAGGUAGGCUAGUUGAGAACAAGUUCUCAUUUGCAACUGCGACCUGGCCAAGAUAAAGCAUAGCAGUGUGAACAGACAACACAGAGUUACACAUGGGGUAAACAAUUAACAAGUCAAUAACACAGUAGAAAAAAAGAAAGAGUCUAUAUACAUUGUGUGCAAAAGAUAUGAGGAGGUAGGCGAAUAAUUACAAUUUUGCAGAUUAACACUGGAGUGAUAAAUGAUCAGAUGGUCAUGUACAGGUAGAGAUAUUGGUGUGCAAAAAAGCAGAAAAGUAAAUAAAUAUAAACAGUAUGGGGAUGAGGUAGGUAAAAUUGGAUGGGCUAUUUACCGAUAGACUAUGUACAGCUGCAGCGAUCGGUUAGCUGCUCAGAUAGCAGAUGUUUGAAGUUGGUGAGGGAGAUAAAAGUCUCCAACUUCAGCGAUUUUUGCAAUUCGUUCCAGUCACAGGCAGCAAGCUUUUUUCCAUCUACGUAACAUUGCAAAAAUCAGAAACUUUCUGUCCAAAAAUGAUGCAGAAAAAUGUAUCCAUGCUUUUGUCACUUCUCGAUUAGACAACUGCAAUACUUUCCGGCUACCCGGAUAAAGCACUAAAUAAACUUCAGUUGGUGCUAAAUACGGCUGCUAGAAUCCUGACUAGAACCAAAAGAAUUGAUCAUAUUACUCCAGUGCUAGCCUCUCUACACUGGCUUCCUGUCAAAGCAAGGGCUGAUUUCAAGGUUUUACUGCUAACCUACAAAGCAUUACAUGGGCUUGCUCCUACCUAUCUCUCUGAUUUGGUCCUGCCGUACAUACCUACACGUACGCUACGGUCACAAGACGCAGGCCUCCUAAUUGUCCCUACAAUUUCUAAGCAAACAGCUGGAGGCAGGGCUUUCUCCUAUAGAGCUCCAUUUUUAUGGAAUGGUCUGCCUACCCAUGUAAGAGACGCAAACUCUGUCUCAACCUUUAAGUCUUUACUGAAGACUCAUCUCUUCAGUGGGUCAUAUGAUUGAGUGUAGUCUGGCCCAGGAGUGGGAAGGUGAACGGAAAGGCUCUGGAGCAACGAACCGCCCUUGCUGUCUCUGCCUGGCCGGUUCCCCUCUUUCCACUGGGAUUCUCUGCCUCUAACCCUAUUACAGGGGCUGAGUCACUGGCUUACUGGGGCUCUCUCAUUCCGUCCCUGGAAGGGGUGCGUCACCUGAGUGGGUUGAUUCACUGAUGUGGUCAUCCUGUCUGGGUUGGCGCCCCCCCUUGGGUUGUGCCAUGGCGGAGAUCUUUGUGGGCUAUACUCAGCCUCGUCUCAGGAUGGUAAGUUGGUGGUUGAAGAUGUCCCUCUAGUGGUGUGGGGGCUGUGCUUUGGCAAAGUGGGUGGGGUUAUAUCCUUCCUGUUUGGCCCUGUCCGGGGGUGUCCUCGGAUGGGGCCACAGUGUCUCCUGACCCCUCCUGUCUCAGCCUCCAGUAUUUAUGCUGCAGUAGUUUGUGUCGUGGGGCUAGGGUCAGUUUGUUAUAUCUGGAGUACUUCUCUCCUGUCCUAUUCAGUGUCCUGUGUGAAUCUAAGUGUGCGUUCUCUAAUUCUCUCCUUCUCUCUUUCUUUCUCUCUCUCGGAGGACCUGAGCCCAAGGACCCAGGACAACCUGACAUGAUGACUCCUUGCUGUCCCCAGUCCACCUGGCCGUGCUGCUGCUCCAGUUUCAACUGUUCUGCCUUAUUAUUAUUCGACCAUGCUGGUCAUUUAUGAACAUUUUAACACCUUGGCCAUGUUCUGUUAUAAUCUCCACCCGGCACAGCCAGAAGAGGACUUGCCACCCCACAUAUGCUCUCUCUAAUUCUCUCUUUCUUUCUCUCUCUCGGAGGACCUGAGCCCUAGGACCAUGCCCCAGGACUACCUGACAUGAUGACUCCUUGCUGUCCCCAGUCCACCUGACCGUGCUGCUACUCCAGUUUCAACUGUUCUGCCUUAUUAUUAUACGACCAUGCUGGUCAUUUAUGAACAUUUGAACAUCUUGGCCAUGUUCUGUUAUAAUCUCCACCCGGCACAGCCAGAAGAGGACUGGCCACCCCACAUAGCCUGGUUCCUCUCUAGGUUUCUUCCUAGGUUUUGGCCUUUCUAGGGAGUUUUUCCUAGCCACCGUGCUUCUACAACUGCAUUGCUUGCUGUUUGGGGUUUUAGGCUGGGUUUCUGUACAGCACUUUGAAAUAUGUGCUGAUGUACGAAGGGCUAUAUAAAUACAUUUGAUUUGAUUUGAUUUUGAACUGGAACGAAAGGCGGCCAAAUGAGGUGUUGGCUUUAGGGAUGAUCAGUGAGAUACACCUGCUGGAGCACGUGCUACGGGUGGGUGUUGCCAUCGUGACCAGUGAACUGAGAUAAGGCGGAGCUUUACCUAGCAUGGACUUGUAGAUGACCUGGAGCCAGUGGGUCUGGCGACGAAUAUGUAGCGAGAGCCAGCCGACUAGAGCAUACAGGUCGCAGUGGUGGGUGGUAUAAGGUGCUUUAGUAACAAAACGGAUGGCACUGUGAUAAACUGCAUCCAGUUUGCUGAGUAGAGUGUUGGAAGCUAUUUUGUAGAUGACAUCGCCAAAGUCGAGGAUCGGUAGGAUAGUCAGUUUUACUAGGGUAAGUUUGGCGGCGUGAGUGAAGGAGGCUUUGUUGCGGAAUAGAAAGUCGACUCUAGAUUUGAUUUUAGAUUGGAGAUGUUUGAUAUGAGUCUAGAAGGAGAGUUUACUGUCUAGCCAGACACCUAGGUACUUAUAGAUGUCCACAUAUUCUAGGUUGGAACCAUCCAGGGUGGUGAUGCUAGUCGGGCGUGCGGGUGCAGGCAGCGAACGGUUGAAAAGCAUGCAUUUGGUUUUACUAGCGUUUAAGAGCAGUUGGAGGCCACGGAAGGAGUGCUGCAUGGCAUUGAAGCUCAUUUGGAGGUUAGAUAGCACAGUGUCCAAGGACGGGCCGGAAGUAUACAGAAUGGUGUCGUCUGCGUAGAGGUGGAUCAGGGAAUCGCCCGCAGCAAGAGCAACAUCAUUGAUAUAUACAGAGAAAAGAGUCGGCCCGAGAAUUGAACCGUGUGGCAUCCCCAUACACACUGCCAGAGGACCGAACAGCAUGACCUCCGAUUUGACACACUGAACUCUGUCUGCAAAGUAGUUGGUGAACCAGGCAAGGCAGUCAUCAGUAAAAAACCGAGGCUACUGAGUCUGCCGAUAAAAAUAUGGUGAUUGACAGAGCCGAAAGCCUUGGCAAGGUCGAUGAAGACGGCUGCACAGUACUGUCUUUUAUCGAUGGUGGUUAUGAUAUCGUUUAGUACCUUGACCGUGGCUGAGGUGCACCCGUGACCGGCUCGGAAACCAGAUUGCAUAGUGGAGAAGAUACGGUGAGAUUCGAGAUGGUCAGUGACCUGUUUGUUGACUUGGCUUUCGAAGACCUUAGAUAGGCAGGGCAGGAUGGAUAUAGGUCUGUAACCGUUUGGGUCCAGGGUGUCUCCCCCUUUGAAGAGGGGGAUGACUGCGGCAGCUUUCCAAUCCUUGGGGAUCUCAGACGAUAUGAAAGAGAGGUUGAACAGGCUGGUAAUAGGGGUUGCGACAAUGGCGUAGAUAGUUUCAGAAAUAGAGGGUCCAGAUUGUCAAGCCCAGCUGAUUUGUACGGGUCCAGGUUUUGCAGCUCUUUCAGAACAUCUGCUAUCUGGAUUUGGGUAGAGGAGAACCUGGAGAGGCU